GUGGGGAUGGGUCCAGGGGACCUUGGUGAUAGUUUCUUCGCUGGGUGUCCUUGGGGCAAGCCAAGGUAGCAUCAGCAUUAGGGUCUGUUCACCAGCCCUGCUCAGCAUCCGGGGGGCGUGUGUUAAAGAGAACAGGGGUUUGGCUGGGUUCAUGCUUGUCCGCUGGUGAGGUCCGUGUGACCUAACGUUCUUGUUCUUGUCCUACAGAGCCGCCCGGGGACCCAGACUGGUGAACUGCUCUGCUCUCAAUCUCCAAGGUUGGUAGCCUCUGAAUUUGAUCAGCAAGCUCACCACUCAAGCCUCCUGAAAUGAAACGGCUGAACAGCAGGCUCAGAAAAGCACUUUGAAGAAAAGCAUUUUGCAUACAAAUGAAGAGGCUUCUCGGAAAACGAAGACAGGGUCUACGUUACUGAGCCUUAUGAUAUGCUAAUUUCCUUGGUUUUAAAGAUGCUAAGGGAAUCCUUUCAAGGUACUGAUGCUUAGAUAUAUCAAAAAUAAUAAGCUAAGACAAUACUUA